CCCUCGUUUCGUUCCCAGCCCCCGACUCUCUCCUUGUACUUGCCCCGACUCUCUCUCUCUCUCUCGAUUUCUAGGGUUUUGAUCUUUCAUGAACGUACAGAAACCAGAUCAGAUCUCUGAUGGUGCAUUCAAGCACCAGCAAUGCAGAUGCCACGACUCCAUCUCCUCACCAUCCCGUCUUCACCUCGUCCUCCUCAUGCGACGCAUCUCGACCGUCGAUUCUGCUGUCGUCUGAUUCCUUCAAGGGCCGUAGGAAGGGUUCCUCAAUCACACGUGCACGUUGAUGAUCUUAUCAAACUCCUCCAUGGCUCCGAUCCCGUUAGGGUCGAAAUCAACCGCCUCGAGAAUGAGGUCCGAGGGCUUGAUUGGGGCAGGUUUAGGGUCUUUGAGGUGUUUUGGAUGUGUCAGUGCACGGCCGCCCAACCUCCAUCGAAAGCCGCUACCAUCAUAAGAGGCCGUCCGUCCCUCAUCAUCAACAACCAAACACAUCUCCACCUGCAAUCGUCCACCAUCAGUUUUGAUUGAGAAAUUCAAGAAUAAAGAUGAUUUUGUUGAAAAAUACCAGAAUCUAAGCUCCUUCAAUGACAUUGAGGAAUUGAGGCCUCACAUUCUUCGAAGAGUUAUCAAGGAUGUGGAGAAGUCUUUGCCUCCAAAAAUUGAGCAUAUCCUCCAGGUUAAAAUGUCUCCCCUUCAGAAACGGUAUUACAAGUGGAUUUUAGAACGUAACUUUCACAACCUGAACAAAGGAGUCCGCGGAAAUCAGGUUUGCACCUAUUUAAAAUAUUUAGGGCCCAUUUGUCAUUGAAGAAAUGAGCGCUUGUGAUCCUUAAAAAUC